rnacentral:rRNA from 1 species
UUAAAACAAGCUUUUAAGAGCAGAUGGCGGAUGCCUUGCCAAAGAGAGGCGAUGAAGGACGUACUAGACUGCGAUAAGCUAUGCGGAGCUGUCAAGGAGCUUUGAUGCGUAGAUGUCCGAAUGGGGCAACCCAACUAAUAGAGAUAUUAGUUACUCUUUAAUAGAGAGCGAACCUAGUGAAGUGAAACAUCUCAGUAACUAGAGGAAAAGAAAUCAACGAGAUUCCCUAAGUAGUGGCGAGCGAACGGGGAAAAGGGCAAACCGAGUGCUUGCAUUCGGGGUUGAGGACUGCAACAUCCAAGAGAACGCUUUAGCAGAGUUACCUGGAAAGGUAAGCCAUAGAAAGUGAUAGCCUUGUAUGCGACAGGGCGUUCUUAGGUAGCAGUAUCCAGAGUAGGCCAGGACACGAGAAAUCCAGGUUGAAGCCGGGGAGACCACUCUCCAACCCUAAAUACUACUCUUUGAGCGAUAGCGAACAAGUACCGUGAGGGAAAGGUGAAAAGAACCGCAGUGAGCGGAGUGAAAUAGAACCUGAAACCAUCUGCUUACAAUCAUUCAGAGCCCUAUGAUUUAUCAGGGUGAUGGACUGCCUUUUGCAUAAUGAUCCUGCGAGUUGUGGUAUCUGGCAAGGUUAAGCGAAUGCGAAGCCGUAGCGAAAGCGAGUCUUAAUAGGGCGAACAAGUCAGAUGCUGCAGACCCGAAGCUAAGUGAUCUAUCCAUGGCCAAGUUGAAACGCGUGUAAUAGCGCGUGGAGGACUGAACUCGUACCCAUUGAAACGGGUUGGGAUGAGCUGUGGAUAGGGGUGAAAGGCCAAACAAACUUAGUGAUAGCUGGUUCUCUUCGAAAUAUAUUUAGGUAUAGCCUCAAGUGAUAAUAAAAGGGGGUAGAGCCCUGAUUGGGCUAGGGCUGCUCGCCGCGGUACCAAACCCUAUCAAACUUCGAAUACCUUUUAUCGUAUCUUGGGAGUCAGGCGGUGGGUGAUAAAAUCAAUCGUCAAAAGGGGAACAACCCAGACUACCAAAUAAGGUCCCUAAGUUCUAUUCUGAGUGGAAAAAGAUGUGUGGCUACUCAAACAACCAGGAGGUUGGCUUAGAAGCAGCCAUCCUUUAAAGAAAGCGUAACAGCUCACUGGUCUAGUGGUCAUGCGCUGAAAAUAUAACGGGGCUAAGAUAGACACCGAAUUUGUAGAUUGUGUUAAACACAGUGGUAGAAGAGCGUUCAUACCAGCGUUGAAGGUAUACCGGUAAGGAGUGCUGGAGCGGUAUGAAGUGAGCAUGCAGGAAUGAGUAACGAUAAGAUAUAUGAGAAUUGUAUCCGCCGUAAAUCUAAGGUUUCCUACGCGAUGGUCGUCAUCGUAGGGUUAGUCGGGUCCUAAGCCGAGUCCGAAAGGGGUAGGUGAUGGCAAAUUGGUUAAUAUUCCAAUACCGACUAUGGAGCGUGAUGGGGGGACGCAUAGGGUUAAGCGAGCUAGCUGAUGGAAGCGCUAGUCUAAGGGCGUAGAUUGGAGGGAAGGCAAAUCCACCUCUGUAUUUGAAACCCAAACAGGCUCUUUGAGUCCUUUUAGGACAAAGGGAGAAUCGCUGAUACCGUCGUGCCAAGAAAAGCCUCUAAGCAUAUCCAUAGUCGUCCGUACCGCAAACCGACACAGGUAGAUGAGAUGAGUAUUCUAAGGCGCGUGAAAGAACUCUGGUUAAGGAACUCUGCAAACUAGCACCGUAAGUUCGCGAUAAGGUGUGCCACAGCGAUGUGGUCUCAGCAAAGAGUCCCUCCCGACUGUUUACCAAAAACACAGCACUUUGCCAACUCGUAAGAGGAAGUAUAAGGUGUGACGCCUGCCCGGUGCUCGAAGGUUAAGAGGAUGCGUCAGUCGCAAGAUGAAGCGUUGAAUUGAAGCCCGAGUAAACGGCGGCCGUAACUAUAACGGUCCUAAGGUAGCGAAAUUCCUUGUCGGUUAAAUACCGACCUGCAUGAAUGGCGUAACGAGAUGGGAGCUGUCUCAACCAGAGAUUCAGUGAAAUUGUAGUGGAGGUGAAAAUUCCUCCUACCCGCGGCAAGACGGAAAGACCCCGUGGACCUUUACUACAACUUAGCACUGCUAAUGGGAAUAUCAUGUGCAGGAUAGGUGGGAGGCUUUGAAGUAAGGGCUUUGGCUCUUAUGGAGCCAUCCUUGAGAUACCACCCUUGAUGUUUCUGUUAGCUAACUGGCCUGUGUUAUCCACAGGCAGGACAAUGCUUGGUGGGUAGUUUGACUGGGGCGGUCGCCUCCUAAAAAGUAACGGAGGCUUGCAAAGGUUGGCUCAUAGCAGGUCCCAAGGGUAUGGCUGUUCGCCAUUUAAAGCGGUACGCGAGCUGGGUUCAGAACGUCGUGAGACAGUUCGGUCCCUAUCUGCCGUGGGCGUAGGAAAGUUGAGGAGAGCUGUCCCUAGUACGAGAGGACCGGGAUGGACGUGUCACUGGUGCACCAGUUGUUCUGCCAAGAGCAUCGCUGGGUAGCUACACACGGAUGUGAUAACUGCUGAAAGCAUCUAAGCAGGAAGCCAACUCCAAGAUAAACUUUCCCUGAAGCUCGCACAAAGACUAUGUGCUUGAUAGGGUAGAUGUGUGAGCGCAGUAAUGCGUUUAGCUGACUACUACUAAUAGAGCGUUUGGCUUGUUUUU